CCUACGGGUUGCACCAGUGGGGAAUAUUGCACAAUGGGCGCAAGCCUGAUGCAGCCAUGCCGCGUGUAUGAAGAAGGCCUUCGGGUUGUAAAGUACUUUCAGCGGGGAGGAAGGUGUUGAGGUUAAUAACCUCAGCAAUUGACGUUACCCGCAGAAGAAGCACCGGCUAACUCCGUGCCAGCAGCCGCGGUAAUACGGAGGGUGCAAGCGUUAAUCGGAAUUACUGGGCGUAAAGCGCACGCAGGCGGUCUGUCAAGUCGGAUGUGAAAUCCCCGGGCUCAACCUGGGAACUGCAUUCGAAACUGACAGGCUAGAGUCUGUAGAGGGGGGUAGAAUUCCAGGUGUAGCGGUGAAAUGCGUAGAGAUCUGGAGGAAUACCGGUGGCGAAGGCGGCCCCCUGGACAAAGCCUGACGCUCAGGUGCGAAAGCGUGGGGAGCAAACAGGAUUAGAUACCCUCGUAGUC
rnacentral:rRNA from 1 species